rnacentral:rRNA from 1 species
AUUGAACGCUAGCGGGAUGCCUUACACAUGCAAGUCGAACGGAGUGGCGAACGGGUGAGUAAUGUAUCGGAACGUGCCCAGUAGCGGGGGAUAACUACGCGAAAGCGUAGCUAAUACCGCAUACUAUUGGAGCGGCCGAUAUCGGAUUAGCUAGUGGGUGGGGUAACGGCUCACCAAGGCGACGAUCCGUAGCUGGUUUGAGUGGGUGACCAGCCACACUGGGACUGAGACACGGCCCAGACUCCUACGGGAGGCAGCAGUGGGGAAUAUUGCACAAUGGGCGAAACCCUGAUGCAGCCAUGCCGCGUGUACGAUGAAGGCCUUCGGGUUGUAAAGCACUUUUAGCAGGGAAGCGGUACCUGCAGAAUAAGCACCGGCUAACUACGUGCCAGCCGCCGCGGUAAUAC